rnacentral:lncRNA from 1 species
AGUGACCCAGUCUUACAUAAAUGUAUAUACAUUCUUUUCUUUUUCCUUUCUUUACACUUAUCUUAAACUUGUACAAAAAAAAUAUCUAUUCUAGUCUGGGUAUUUGACAAAUAUUAACUCAUUUAACUGUCUUAUGGGUUUACUGAUGAGCAGUGUGAAUUAGAGGCAUAUAGCAUGGACCUGAUCAAUAAGUACCUAAUCAGGUAACUAAGUAGCCCUUACCUGAUCAGUAAGUGGUAGGACUGUGAUUAGAACCAGACCUCCAAUGGCCAGAGUCUUAACUGCUAAGUUGCGUAAAGCAAGGAGAUUGCAAACACCUAUUAAGGAAACCUAUGAAGGGUAACUCUUCAAAGGAUGCUCUGGCCUUUGUUUCUGGAGGCUGUCAUAUGGAAUAAGGCCCAUGCCAGGGAUGGGUGCCACGUGCCUGUACCUUUUCACUCAUGCCAUCCUCUGCUGGUCCCAGACCAGCAUGGUGUAGCCCUUGUUCCUAAAAGCAUCGACAUUCCCCGUGGAUCAAUUUCCUCUUCCCGUUUUCUCCAGCUGGAAUUCCCCAGGUAUCUUCAACACUGAACGUAGCAUUCUUCAUCUGUCAGAUGAGCAGGAACAACGGUGGUUGGAGAGCUCUUCACUGUUACGCGUGGUAGAUAAGAUUGAUGCCGUCUGAUAAACUUGCGUAGCACGCAAACACCGGAAGACUCACUUGCACUGAAGGACGUUAAAAAUAUAUUGUCAUUCUCAGUCUAUAAGAAACUGUAACUCACAAGUGUGGUAAAUACAACCCUUGCAAGAGCUGUUGAAAAUGAAAACAGAAAGCUAUGGUUUUACAUUCGUCUGGUACCUUGUAAAUCAUCACGCAUACUUGCAAAUGAUGCCAUUUAAAAUAGUUUUGUUUUUUUCAUUUUCAAAUACUGGAUUUAUGGCAUCAGUAUCUAAAGUCAUUUUUAAAAAUCAGUUCAAAUGGUAGGUAGUAAAUACCACAGUUGAGUAAUAUGUGUAUAUACACAUGGUUGUACUUACAGCUGUGAGCAAUUUGCAUAGACACAUUAGGAGGCAAAGCCUGCUGAAUCGGAAGCCUCCCUCUCAGGUUGCUCCACGCACCUUUUCUUGCUUAUAGCUAACUUUCUUUGAUAUCUGACAUAAAAGAAACACCUACCUCAAUGCAUUACCUUCUUUUGUCUUGCUUUAUUUUAAUCUGAUCCUGCUUAGAUUUAUAUUUACACUUCAGAUCUCAGUGAACUCAGAGGGUAGCUGUUUAACUGUCUGGGUAGAUGCCUGCAUGUAUGGAAAGAAAGCCUCCAGCUGAACAUAGAAAUAAUUCUCUGGAAUAAAUUGGAAAUUAUCUCACUCAAAGACUACUUUUUAAGACGUAUUUUCUUUUUUUCCUUAAGCGAUUCAUUAUAUACUGUAAUUUUUGAGCUUUUAAAUCACAUUCCUUGGUAUUUUAAAGGUUUCUGACACACCCUUUAAAAUCUGUAUUUAAUCUAAGUUUCAACAUUUCCAUUUUGAUUCCAUAUCUGAAUUAUUCAUCCCUUUACAUUCCUCCUUUAUUAGUAGAUAACAUUAUCUGUCCUUUCAAGUGUAAGUGUGCUGUUUAUUGUACUUAAAAAAAGCCCAUUAUGUUGCUUUUAAAGACAUUUAGGUUCUUUGCAUAAAUAGAGGACACAUUUCAUGCUUACUUCAGUGUGGUUGUUGUAAGAUCUGCAUUUUUUAUGGUAUUGAUUCACCAUAAUUAAUCUAAACCUACAAAAAGAUAGCUAGGAAGUAAUAUUUUGCAUGAAGCUCCUUUAUUGCAGUGAUGCCUUUAUUUAUUUACUGAUUGAUUGAUUGAUUGAUUGAUUUUGGCUGGGCCUGUAGCAUGAGGAAGUUCCUGGGCCAGGGGUUGAACCUGCACCACAGCAGCAACUCAAGCCACGGCAGUGAUACCGCCAACGGAUCCUUAGCCCACUGAGCCACUGGGGAAGUCUGCCUAUUUGUAAAUAGGAAAGGUUUCUUCCAGAGAAGAUAGUGAGGGCGGGAGGAUGGGAGACGUGGGGUCGUCCUGGCCGCUCAUGGUCCUCCGGUCAGUGCCUGGAGGGACCUUCUCACUCUCCCAACCACCUCUACUGCGGCUGGGGUUAUUUGGGAUGGGGACAGUCUUUGCUUUGUUUGGGGAAAUAACAUAUGCUUUGAAAUCACAGAUUUCAUGUCAUGUAAUGUGGGAAAGUUACAUUUGGAAUUAAUUUAUAUUAAUGAAACUCAAGUUUGCAAUGACUAAAUAGAAGAAAUGCAUACAAAAUGUGACUCACCCAAGAAGGCACUUGAUGCUUUUUAAAUUUAUUGCUUCCAUGUAGUCUUCACUUCAUAAUUCAAUCACUACUGUAUAUCAGGAGGUAGCAAGAUUUUUUUUUUUUAUUUUAAAUUAUAAGUGCCGGAGCUCCCAUUGUGGCUCAGUGGAAACAAACCUGACCAGUGUCCAUGAGGACGUGGUUCAAUCCCUGGCCUCACUCAGUGGGUGAAGGAUCUGGCAUUGCUGUGACUGUGGUGUGGGCCGGCCACUGCAGCUCCCAAUCAAACCCUAGCUCGGGAACGUCUACAUGCUGCACCUACAGCCCCCCAAAAGUUGGUUAAAAAGGGUGGUGAUACUGAUGCAAGUUAACGACUUUAAUGCAAAAGUUCAAAACCGCACGUGAUGCCCUCCCUAUAUUCCCUGACCUAAGAUCCUGAGUAGGUGUCCUAGACCAAGUAAGGGCUCCACGGGCCCCCAGUCAUCCAGGCCUAAAUCAUAUUUGACAAAUGGUAUCAACUUGAUAUAGAUCGAUAAAAUGCUAUCCGCGGGUGGAGCAAAUCAGCAGCACUCCUCUGGAAGAAUGUUUGCUGCAGGUGGUACCGUUUACUCCAGCCCUGACUGUGCCCCAUGCAGGGAAAUGGGUAGACAGACCUACCUGGGUUCUAUCCCCAAACCUAGACCAGUCGCCUACCACGUCCUAAUUUCCUCAUUGAGAUAGUCGAGUCGACUAGAGGAAGAAGUCAGAGGAAGACUCGGAGGUGUCGGUUGUGCUAUGUGUCACAUGAAGACGCGUCAUAAUAUUUGGUCAUAUGUUAUAAAUUUCAGUGCAAGACUGUGCCUAAACAAAGACGUAUAAAGCACUGGUGAUGCCCGAAUACCGUUUUAACACGAGAUCUAGAUGUGGUUUGGUUUGGAGUGAGGAUACGGGACAAGCAUUUAGACCGGGGAGGUCACGUUGUGUGAGGAGCUACCUGUCACUCUCACAGCUGUUGACAUCGCCCCGUCGAAUGAAGGACGUUUGCGGCUGUUACUUUUCCGGAUUCGUGUGGGUUAGAGUAGAGCACUUUGGAAAUUCCUGUCUAAUUUCUAGAAGCCCUGGCUCUAAGAGCAAACGAUGGACUUCAGGUUCCCGGCUCUGGUGUAAAAGCUCUGGUGUAGACUGAGACUUGAGCCAGCUUCUGAACUUCCUACAUUUACUUUUCUGAAAAAAAGGGGAAUAAUGUUAACUACUGCCUGGGGAAAUUGCGUAAUUCCUGUUUUACAAUGUACAUUUACUGAUUGCCUAAUAAGGAUUACUUGAAACUGUGAAAUAAAUUACUCAGUUAUAUGUAGAAUAUUAAUAAUUUCACAGAAAGAUGUUAUGAAUUGGAUACUUUGGACCUUUCCUUCUUCCCUCCCUCCCUCCCUCCCUCCCUUCCUUCCUUCCUUUCUUUGUUUCUUUUUUUGCUUCUUAGGGCCACAUUUGCAGCAUAUGGAGGUUCCCAGGCUAGGGGUUGAAUGGGAGCUACAACGGCGGACCUGCGCCGCAGCCACUCACACUCACAGCAACGCCGGAUCCUUAACCCACUGAGCAAGCCCAGGGAUUGAACCCAAAACCUCAUGGAUACUAGUCAGGUUCAUUACCACUGAGACACAAUGGGAAUUCCAUUUCUCAUUUUAAUUUUAGGACAUACAUGUUUAUGAAGGGACAAUCCCUGAAAUCAAAUAGAAAUAAAAAUACAACUAUUCCUCUGAUAAUGUAAAUAUAAUAAAUAGAGUGGAAAAACAAAUAUUCCUAGAAAGUGUAUUUAAAAAUAGUUUUGUCUGAAAUUAAGUUCAGAAAUUUUUAAAAAUAGAAAAUUAAUCAUUAAACAUUAUUAAAUAGUAAAUAAAAUUGAGAUCUGUUUAUAUUUCCUGAAAAUUGAAUUUAAAACUUAGGUGUAAAUAUUUACAGUUGUUUUUAACUCAUCAGACUGUGUCAAUUAUGUACUAAAGUAAAUGACUGCAGGUAUAUCCUUUGUUAUUUUUGAUUAUAUUAUCCUAUGUAACAUGGCAGCCAUGGAUUUUAUGUCCUUCUCUCUCUUAACAGGUGGGAGUUAAACACAUUUCCUAGACCAUAAAAUCCCCAUGUACUAGGCAGUUAGAGCACAUUUUCAUUUACAUUUUUUUAAUGCCACUGAAACUCUGGUUGAGCCCUCCCGGCCGGCGUGAUUGCCCUGUGUCACCUAAUGUCCAGUGACAUUUACUACUUUUAAAAUCAGGCAUUUGGAUUUAAUUUCCACAUUUCUUUGUUAGGCUAAAGCAUCAAAUUCUUUGCAUAUUCAGACUGAAAUUUGACACUUUUUAAUAUGUUUCGAACCGGCUAUGGAAACUGUUGUAUUUCUGCUUAGAUAACUCUGUCCAUUGAUUUGUUAAUUGAUUAGAUACCUGUUGAGGUGUUUAAUUAUAUUAUGUAAAAAAUAAAUAGAAUGUGCAGGAAUACUCAAAACAGUGAAAGAAAGUCUAAGAGAUUUAUAGUCCAGUCGUUGGAAAUAAGCAGUGGAUAAAUACCACAACUGUACAUUUGCUUCAUCCUCAGUAUGAACCAGUAUGAACCAUCCUCGGCGUAAGAAAUUGCAUUUGGCCUCAGACAUUUCAGGCCAGAAGAUAUUUGCAUCAGACAUGGCCAACGACUGUCCCAUGGCUGCUCUCCCUAAACUCUGCAACACGGGGAUUUGGUAGGUCCCAGGUGCUUGGCCCUGGACGUUUGAGCUCCUCAAGUCAACAGAGGCACCAAGAGACGCAGGACAGGCCGACAGUAAUGGAAACUGAGUUGCUCCUCAGGAAACAUGUUGGCCUUAAACAAACUGAAUUAAUAUAUUGAGGACAACUCAACAAGCCUUUAACGUAAAGAUAUCAGAAGCUGUCCUGGGGGCUGAAUGUUCCACAGCCUGAAUUGAAGGGAUUUUACAGUAAAUAAUAGAGCAAAAAUAAAAUUGACUAUAACGCGGCGUUCCCGUUGUGGCUCAGUGGUAACAAACCCGACUCGUAUCCAUAAGGAUGCGGGUUCAAUCCCUGGCCUCCCUCAGUGGGUGAAGGCUCUGGCAUUGCCAUGAGCGGUGGUGUAGGUCACGGCCAGAUGUGGCUCUGAUUCAGCCCCUAGCCUGGGAACUUCCACAUGCUGGCACGUGAGGCCCUAAAAAAGCAAAAAAAAAAUAAACAAAGCAUGAUUAUUUCUAAAUCACACUAAAAUAAUAUACCAAAUGAAUAGUACGGCAGGGCAUAAAAUGAAAGUCCAAUUAGGACUAAAGAAGUAAUGGACCUUGAGAUUGAAACAGAAAAAUGGUUCUUCUCUCCUCUGCUGAAAAGGCAGGGAGUUGGGAAGUAGAAGCAUGCUCAGAGCACAGUCUGAGGCCCCCAAAGCCUCAGGUUCUGCGAGCCGGCAGGACCGGGUCAGGGUCUGGACCCCAGCCUACUCAUGAAGAUGCCAGUCUGCCAUGCUGAGGAGUCUGGCUGCUCUGUGUGCAAUGGCAGCCUUCGGUCAGAAACGAAAUCCAUGUUUAGGAAACUCGAGUCUUACGCUCGGGAGGCUGGUUUGGAGCACGGGGCAUGAAACAGUUUUACUGUGGAGCAACGAGGGGUGGCAGCUGAAAUGCAGAAACGUACGAGCUGUAAAAUGCAUUUAUUCUAGAAUAAGCGAACUGCUCUCAACCUGAUCAUUCAGGAGAAAGGACUGCAUCCGCCGUCUGCCGUGUUAGCAGUGGCCAAAGAAGGGCAGAGGGGCAGGUGUAGGAGGGACAUCCUGCUGCAAACUGUAGUGGCUGAAGAAGCCGCGUGCUGCUACCAAUGGCGCCUCCCGACUGGGCCAUCUGAAGCGGCACCUCUGCGCCAGCAGGACACCGCCUACCUCAUUCUUCCUCAUCGCAUUGCAUUGCCACAUCGGCCUUUUUAAAAGUAAUACAACGCAGACUUGGCCUCUUGCUUAUUAAAGCAAAUAGAGUAACUUGCUAAUAUUUGCUAAUUUGGCUUCUUGUUGCUCUGUUUUUGUCUUCUACAUGUUUAAUCUAUAUUUAAAAUAAUUGAGGCAGUUUUCAAUAAUGCUUGUUUGAAAUAGUAUAUAUUUGGCAUGUUUCACCUAAUGGACACAUUAAAAAACCCACUUCAACAUUUAAAAUCAAAAUAAAAUAUCAGAGAGUCCCUUGGGGGCUUAGCAGUUGGGACUUGGUGGUGUCACUGCUGCGGCUCUGGUUGCUGCUGGGGCAGGGGUUUAAUCCCUGGCCCAGGGAACUUCUGCAUGCUCUGGGUGUGG